rnacentral:miRNA from 1 species
UUUCCCUUUUUCACACCUUUCC